rnacentral:lncRNA from 1 species
UAAAAUUGAGAAUGGAAAUGGGGAAUGUGUCAAAGAGACAACAACCCGACCAAAUAAAAAACAACAGCAGAGGGUCACCAACAGGUCUUCAAUGUAGCGAGAAAUUCCCGCACCCGAAGGCGUCCUUCAGCUGGCCCCUAAACAAAUAUAUACUAGUCCAGUGAUAAUGAACGCCAUACUAAUUUCCAAAUUGUACACAAGAAACUAAAAUUAAAAUAAUACAAGACUAACAAAGGCCAGAGGCUCCUGACUUGGGACAGGCGCAAAAAUGCGGCGGGGUUAAACAUGUUUGUGAGAUCUCAACCCUCCCCCUAUACCUCUAACCAAUGUAGUAAAGUAAACGCAUAACAAUACGCACAUUAAAAUUCAGUUCAAGAGAAAUCCGAGUCUGAUGUCAGAAGAUGUAACUAAAGAAAAUAAACAAAAUGACAAUAAUACAUUAAUAACAACAGACUACUAGCAGUUAACUGACAUGCCAGCUCCAGACUUCAAUUAAACUGACUGAAAGAUUAUGAUUUCAUCAUAUGAACAUCAGGCACAAUCCUUCCCGUUAGGGGUUUAGUAUCAUACCAUCAUAACAUAUAUGAGAAGAACAUAACCCGUGUCAUGCCAACAACUGUUUUAAAAAAAAAUAAUGUGUUUAGUUCGAUGCAAAGACCUUAUCAGUGACUCAAUAUUAACGCCAAAAUAUGCAAUCUUUAAUGACUUGACAACAGUAUCGUAAUUAUAUCCCUUCUUAAUAAGUCUAUUCAAAGGUUUUGUAAGUUUCUGAGGUGAAUACUGACACCUUUGUGCUUUAUAAAGAAUAUUACCAUAAAAAAUUGGAUGUGAAAUACCUGAACGUAUUAGAAGUCUGCAUGUUGAGCUAUAUUUACGAAUGAUGUCUUUAUACCGAUGAUAAAAUUUAGUAAAUGUUUUGACUAGUUUGUGAUAUCGAAAACCCUGGUGUAAUAAUUUUUCAGUAAUACAUAAAUUUUUUUCGUUAAAAUUUAAAACAUUGUUACAUACACGAGCGAAUCGUACCAAGUUGAGAUAUAUAAACACCGUAAGAUGGUGACAAGGGAACGUCACAUCUAAAAACGGAUAAUUAACGAUAGGAAAUGAAAAAUCAUCCCUUUUAUCAUAAAUUUUAGUAUUCAGCUUUCCAUUAGUGAUAUAUAUAUCAAGAUCGAGAAAAGGGCAGUGGUCAUUGUUUGUAUUAGCUUUAUUUAAAGUAAGUUCAACAGGAUAAAUUUCAUUAAUAUAACAUACUGAAGUCGUCAUUAUUGAGAGCCAAAAUAUCAUCCAAAUAUCUAAAAGUAUUAUUAAAUUUGUUUAUCAGAUGUGUUGUUUGAUGGGUCUUUGCUUAUUUUUGUCAUAAAUUGUAAUCAUACAAUACAAAAACAGGUCCGCAAUAAGUGGUGCACAGUUAGUCCCAUUGGAAUUCGAUAAUCUGACGAUAUACGGAAUCCCAAAGCGCACAAAAAUGUUAUCCAGUAAAAAUUCAAGGGCAUAUAUAGUAUCAAAGCAUGUCCAAUUUAACAUAGUUUUUUUGUUUAUUGCUACAAAAAAUGACUAAAAGAGGUUGAACAUAUAUAUUCACAUUCUGAUUUUUUGAAUGCCCAUUUAAUUAGGUGUGUGAAUUUUUUCUUAAUGAGAAUGUGAGGCAAUGUGGUAUACAGGGUAGAAAAAUCAAAACUUUGAACUGAUCAAAAUCACCAAUAUAAGCAUGCAAUUUAUCAAGUACUUCCAAAGUUUUUGACACUCCAAAAGUAAUUUAUCCACUAUUUUCGAAGGCCUUAUUUGAACAAUUCAUUAUCAGGUUUUUUAAUUGUACCAAGUGUGCUGGUAAGAAGAAUAGACAAUUUAGUAGUUGAACAAUGGCUUGAAGACGAAAUAAAUCUAUAUUUGUAAGGGAUUUUGUGUAGCUUCGGAAGCCAAUACAUAGUUGGGACUUUCAUUGUAUUUGGCUCUGCUUGUAAAGCGAUGGCUAAAAGUUUAUGUUUGUUACAGAUUUCGUUUUCUGAAAAUGGAGUCAGUUGGAAUGUUGGUGAAUUGGUGAUUUCCUUUUCAGAACCUCAAUGUAAAAUUUACGUCAAACAAUAAUAAUAUUAUUAGCAGCUUUUCUGCCGGGACAAACACAAAUUCCUUGGCUAGUUCUUUUAGUUUAUGUUGAUACGAGAAAUAGGUUUAUUGUGGUUAUUGUUUUAUAGUAAAAUGUUCUUUAAAAUGUUGAAUACGUAUAUCAACUAUCUUCAUUACUGAAUUAAAAAAAGAGUCCAAAGUUUUUUGUCAGCUUUUCCCGUUUUAUCCAUUUCAUACAGUAAGUAUGGAGUGAGUCGUGGAUGAUAUUACGACACUCAUUCCAAUUAAUAAUUGACGGGGGACGAUAUUUAGGUCCUUUACUGAGGAAUGAUUUUAACUUUCGGUCUUGAACGAUGUUAAGAUCUCCUGUUAUAACAUGGGAAAUGGGUCCAUAAAUAUAUCGGAAUUACUGCAAUUACAUGAAGUAGGUAUAUUUUCACUGAUAUUAACAUCUUUACACAAUUGACUAUAAUUAAACACAAAUUUCCGGGUAGAUUUCUUGUAAAUAUAACAAAUAAGAGGGUAGCUCAGUAUUGUCAAAUAUCCAGGAAUUUGUUCUUUAACAGAAUGGUCGUUAAAUAUACCGGCAAUAUUUAAAAUCAAAGCCUUUAUUGACAUACUUAAUUUUAAUAAAAUGUUUUUUAUGAUCUUCAGGGCGAUCAAUUUUGGGAAAUAAUUUGAAUAACAAUAUGCCAUAAUAAUUUGAACAAUUUCAUACUUAGGACUGCUAUAUGAAAUUGUGUUGCAAUCCUCCAAAAUUUUAUUUAACUUAUUAACGCGGUAACGAACAGAGUUUUGUUAACAGAUAAUGUCUGCUGUUGUUUUUUUGAAAUAGAAAUUAGGUCCGAAAUAUUGGUAUGAUUGGCCCGAAAUUUUCUUAAAUUGCGAUUUGUUCUACGACCGUGAGAACGUUUUUACGAACAGUUUUAGAAACUAUAUCAAAAUGUUAACGGAAUUGGUUCUAGAUAUAUACCAAUUCCCAUGAUAUUAUCAUUUAGACCGAGAGGGUAAACUGUCUGUAAUUUUUUAAUCCAAUUUAAUUCAAUUAUUUUCCGUGAUCGUACAAACUUUGAAUGCGAUUCACAGGCUGCUUAUUUACUACUUCUAAAGGUUGAACUGCUAAAUAUUAAAAGGAUGGUUUUGCUUCUUAAGGUGUUGGUAAAUGAUACUUUUGAAUUAAUUGGGUCUUUUAAAAGAUACAGAUGUUCUUGAGUGCGUUUAGAUAAAUAUCGUCCAGUUUCUCUACGUACUGAAUACACACCCGGUUUGUUUCAUGUGAGUAAAUAAAUAAUACUGUUUGUUUUUCAAGUUAUAUCAGUUUCAAAUUUAAAGAAAUGUGCGACCAUUAAACGUGGACCUUACGUAUUGUUGGUGGAAAGACGGGACAUGUAAGUCAUUUUUUGGCAUGACACUUAUCGAUAGAAGGGUAACCACGAUUUUAUGUUAAAAUCUUAGCGAUGGUAGUAUUUUUAGAUAACCGAUUUGAAGAUUGAGACGUGUGGAUACCCUUUGAACAAGUUUAGUAUUUAGUAUUUUCCAUUUCUAAGCUUCAUAUUGUUUUGUUAGUGAAUUAUAUAAUAAAGGAGCAAAGAUUGGCGUCCAGAAUAUGAACCA